rnacentral:rRNA from 1 species
CCUACGGGAGGCAGCAGUGGGGAAUAUUGCACAAUGGGGGGAACCCUGAUGCAGCGACGCCGCGUGGGUGAAGAAGUCAUUCGUGACGUAAAGCCCUAUCAGCAGGGAAGAAAAUGACGGUACCUGACUAAGAAGCCCCGGCUAACUACGUGCCAGCAGCCGCGGUAAUACGGAGGGUGCGAGCGUUAAUCGGAUUUACUGGGUGUAAAGGGAGCGUAGACGGAAUAGCAAGUCUGAUGUGAAAACCCGGGGCUCAACUCCGGGAGUGCAUUGGAAACUGUUGAUCUAGAGUGUCGGAGAGGCAA